UUAAUAUGAAUUAAUGUAUAUGAAAAGUAGAGACAUUUUUCUUUCGAACGAAAGUCGAUACCUUGCUUUGUCGUAUUUGCACAAACAUAUAUGUAUAUAUACAUAAUUAGUAGUCAUUCAAAAUGUUUUAUGAUGAGAAAUUCAUCUAUGAUAUAAUUCGGAAAGUAUCUUAGUAUGUAUGUAUGUACGUAUAUAUAAUUCUUUUUCAUAAGAUAAAAUAGAGCAACGAAUAAUAUUGUAUCGUACUAACAGGUGUCUCUGCACGUUGCAUCAAUGGAGCCAGUGUUGCAGUUUACAGAAUGCAAUCAGGAAAAGAAGAACUUCUCCCUAUCUUCGACGCGAUGGAAUGUCACUGGGCCAAACGUGACCCAAACUGUGCACGGCUCGUUAAGGACCAGCUACCGCCGCUAUCGUUUAAGAAACGUUUAAGAAGUUAUUCGAGGCAGGCACAAGGAUAAGUUCCAUUCGCUUUUUCGGUCAGUCGGACAUCUUAUACAUAAGAA
rnacentral:misc_RNA from 1 species